UUUGAAAGAGGGUUUGUCAACCUGUAUUUAAAAAGGUUUGGGUCCAUCCAACAAAUCAUUCUCUGCCUCCAUCUCAACCUCUCAAAGUUAUCAUACAAUUUCGCAAACAUGUCAAGAAUCGAGCAGGCAAUGUAUGCCAUUAUAAGGACCUUUAAUGAAUACACUGGACCAGAAGGAGAAUACAUCGCUUUGACCAAGAAAUGCUUUGCUAAACUGCUCCACACUGAGUUUCCUGAGGCAGAUAAAAACUCAGCUGAAGUGGACAGACUCUUCCACAAGCUGGAUGAAGACGGCGACGGUUUAAUUACUUUCGAUGAGUUUGUGUCUAUUAUAACAGAAGUCCACAUGCUGUCCCGUAAAAAAUAAAUGAUUUGGCCACACUGGUGCAGAGCUGGAUAACGAUGGUGAUGUGUUUCUUUCCAGGAGUAUGUCUCUUUUGUAGUAGCGCUCACUGUGAUGUGAACUAACAAAUAAAUAAUUUGGCCACGUUGCCUCACAACUGUC